rnacentral:rRNA from 1 species
GUCCACGCCCUAAACGAUGUCAACUGGUUGUUGGGAAUGUUUCUUCUCAGUAACGUAGCUAACGCGUGAAGUUGACCGCCUGGGGAGUACGGCCGCAAGGUUGAAACUCAAAUGAAUUGACGGGGACCCGCACAAGCGGUGGAUGAUGUGGUUUAAUUCGAUGCAACGCGAAAACCUUACCUACCCUUGACAUGCCAGGAAUCUCAUAGAGAUAUGAGAGUGCUCGAAAGAGAACCUGGGCACAGGUGCUGCAUUGCCGUCGU